CACGACUGCUGGAUUUCAAAGUGGAGAAAGGAAACAACAGAACAAGGAAUGAAGCAGCUUUAAGUUGUAGACUGCCUACUAUAUCAGGAAAACAGUAAUCGUGGUCACAUAAAGCCAAGAAAUUAAGGGCUAAUAGGGCUGAUGCAGAUCAGCUGCUUCCUCAUACCAUGUUACUGGAACCAGAGCUGAGACCACUCUUUGAUGGUCUAAGAAGAGCGUACCUGCUGUUACUCUCACCCAAACUAGAGGUUUAAUACCCAGGGAAAAAAAAAGUUGUGACAGAAGAAAUAAAUUUGACUACAAAUGGUCACAGCGUCUCCCAUCCCAGGACUAAGAUCCAGCUGCAGAGAACACCCAAUUCUGCCAACAAUUAAGAUUAAAAGAAAAAAAAAAUGAAUGCGAGCACUCAUGAAGGCUAUGAAUCAUCUCCUUUUCCCAUGUAAAUUACACAGCAAUCAACAUAAAUGGGUUUAAUAAAA
rnacentral:lncRNA from 1 species